CAGGACCAGCGCCACUUCCCACUAAUCCAUGUGCUUACAUGAAACUUCAAGAAGAAAUAAAAAACCACCAACCACACCCUAAGGCUUCCACAACAAAUAUUCUUAUUUCGGGCAGUGUGGGUUCCGGAAAGUCAAGCUUUAUAAAUUCUGUGUUCUCAGAACUCAGGAGAGAAGAAUUCAACGGCAGAAUACAAAACAUUCAAGGCGUGAGACCAGGUGCAGAAACAAGCGUCACACAACAUCUAAGAUGCCACACAUUCAAUGACAAGAUCAAAAUCUUUGAUACAGCAGGAUUUAAAUUAGGGAAAACAGUAAAUGCCUCGAUAAUAUUAAAGAAGAUCAUAGAUGGUGAAGUGGCUGAAGGCACAAAGUUUGACGAUAUUCUGAAAACAAAAAGCUCAAUGGAAGGAGACAAAAUCCACUGUGUUGUGUUGGUUAUAUCAAUUCAUACUGCUGACAAUAUGGACCCAGCCUUGAUUCAGUUUUAUGAAGAAUUAAUUGGAAUGCUCAGAGAGACUGGAGUACCAUGCCAGCUGCUAGUUACACUCGAUGAACUUGUCAGGAAGACUGAGGAUUUGAAAAAUCUGUACUGGAGAAG